rnacentral:rRNA from 1 species
AAAUUGAAGAGUUUGAUCAUGGCUCAGAUUGAACGCUGGCGGCAGGCCUAACACAUGCAAGUCGAGCGGUAGCACAGAGAGCUUGCUCUCGGGUGACGAGCGGCGGACGGGUGAGUAAUGUCUGGGAAACUGCCUGAUGGAGGGGGAUAACUACUGGAAACGGUAGCUAAUACCGCAUAAUGUCGCAAGACCAAAGUGGGGGACCUUCGGGCCUCAUGCCAUCAGAUGUGCCCAGAUGGGAUUAGCUAGUAGGUGGGGUAACGGCUCACCUAGGCGACGAUCCCUAGCUGGUCUGAGAGGAUGACCAGCCACACUGGAACUGAGACACGGUCCAGACUCCUACGGGAGGCAGCAGUGGGGAAUAUUGCACAAUGGGCGCAAGCCUGAUGCAGCCAUGCCGCGUGUGUGAAGAAGGCCUUCGGGUUGUAAAGCACUUUCAGCGGGGAGGAAGGCGGUAAGGUUAAUAACCUUGGCGAUUGACGUUACCCGCAGAAGAAGCACCGGCUAACUCCGUGCCAGCAGCCGCGGUAAUACGGAGGGUGCAAGCGUUAAUCGGAAUUACUGGGCGUAAAGCGCACGCAGGCGGUCUGUCAAGUCGGAUGUGAAAUCCCCGGGCUCAACCUGGGAACUGCAUUCGAAACUGGCAGGCUAGAGUCUUGUAGAGGGGGGUAGAAUUCCAGGUGUAGCGGUGAAAUGCGUAGAGAUCUGGAGGAAUACCGGUGGCGAAGGCGGCCCCCUGGACAAAGACUGACGCUCAGGUGCGAAAGCGUGGGGAGCAAACAGGAUUAGAUACCCUGGUAGUCCACGCCGUAAACGAUGUCGAUUUGGAGGUUGUGCCCUUGAGGCGUGGCUUCCGGAGCUAACGCGUUAAAUCGACCGCCUGGGGAGUACGGCCGCAAGGUUAAAACUCAAAUGAAUUGACGGGGGCCCGCACAAGCGGUGGAGCAUGUGGUUUAAUUCGAUGCAACGCGAAGAACCUUACCUGGUCUUGACAUCCACAGAACUUAGCAGAGAUGCUUUGGUGCCUUCGGGAACUGUGAGACAGGUGCUGCAUGGCUGUCGUCAGCUCGUGUUGUGAAAUGUUGGGUUAAGUCCCGCAACGAGCGCAACCCUUAUCCUUUGUUGCCAGCGGUUAGGCCGGGAACUCAAAGGAGACUGCCAGUGAUAAACUGGAGGAAGGUGGGGAUGACGUCAAGUCAUCAUGGCCCUUACGACCAGGGCUACACACGUGCUACAAUGGCAUAUACAAAGAGAAGCGACCUCGCGAGAGCAAGCGGACCUCAUAAAGUAUGUCGUAGUCCGGAUUGGAGUCUGCAACUCGACUCCAUGAAGUCGGAAUCGCUAGUAAUCGUAGAUCAGAAUGCUACGGUGAAUACGUUCCCGGGCCUUGUACACACCGCCCGUCACACCAUGGGAGUGGGUUGCAAAAGAAGUAGGUAGCUUAACCUUCGGGAGGGCGCUUACCACUUUGUGAUUCAUGACUGGGGUGAAGUCGUAACAAGGUAACCGUAGGGGAACCUGCGGUUGGAUCACCUCCUUACCUUAAAGAA